UACGAAGGGGGCUAGCGUUGUUCGGAAUUACUGGGCGUAAAGCGUGCGCAGGCGGCUUCUCAAGUCAGGGGUGAAAGCCCAGAGCUCAACUCUGGAAUUGCCUUUGAGACUGAGUGGCUUGAGUACGGGAGAGGUGAGUGGAAUUCCCAAUGUAGAGGUGAAAUUCGUAGAUAUUGGGAAGAACACCGGUGGCGAAGGCGGCAUCCUGGACCGGCAUUGACGCUGAGGCGCGAAAGCCAGGGGAGCAAACGGG
rnacentral:rRNA from 1 species